AAAGAAGUUAGUUAAGUUAAUUAAUAUUGAUUUGUCAAAUCAAAGUCAUUUUUUUUUACUUCUU
rnacentral:tRNA from 1 species